rnacentral:rRNA from 1 species
UAAUUGAAGAGUUUGAUCAUGGCUCAGAUUGAACGCUGGCGGCAGGCCUAACACAUGCAAGUCGAGCGGUAACAGGGGAAGCUUGCUUCCCGCUGACGAGCGGCGGACGGGUGAGUAAUGUAUGGGGAUCUGCCCGAUAGAGGGGGAUAACCACUGGAAACGGUGGCUAAUACCGCAUAAUCUCUUAGGAGCAAAGCAGGGGAACUUCGGUCCUUGCG